rnacentral:lncRNA from 1 species
GUAGAUGUCUCAACUUUGGCAAAUUGAGAAGGUAUCUUGGGAGUAUAUUAGUUUUCCUUUCCACAAGAAGAAAUUCUAGGUUUUGGAGUCUGCCUAUUGAUGAUGUUAAUUUUGAAGACAAUUCUAAGUACCUCAACUCAGUCAUAGUUUCUGUACUACUUAGAUCAUUCGCCGACUCCAAGAUCCUAAUGCUGUCUGAGUUGUGAAGAAUGGAUGAGUUCUCGAGAGAAUGAGACUCCUUCAAGCGAGAGAGAUUCUUAGACACCAAGAAUUGACUGAGGAAUAUGUUGGAUCAUCAUCGAUUUGACCAUAUCAAUCAGCAGCAGCAGCAAAAUUGAGACAAUCACCAAAAUUUAUCACACGUAGUUAGUAAUAGUAGGCUAAAUUUGAAAAGAAAAGUAAAACGAGAAGAUGAUAGCAAAAGAGUUGGAUAACUUACUGUUGGAACAGAAAAUUUUCUUCUUCAGCUACUUUCCAGCACAUUUCAAGUAGUAGAUCGUGAAUGGUACAUGAUUUUACUCCAUUGUCAGAUCUUUUUCUAGCAAUUUGCAGCAAGCUCCUAUUAAUUAGAUCUGUUAGAUACUCCUCUGCUACGUCUUCAAAGUUCUUCUGCCCCUCUUUCUUUAUAAACCCUUCUGCUAUCCAUAGUAAUAACAGCUUCCGCACUGGAAUUUCCGCAUCUUCCUCGAAUGCAGUUAAGUAGAGGAAACAUGGCUUCAAAUGAAUUGGUAAAUGGUUGUAACUAAGUUUCAAUAUGGAAAGAAAAUCAUCAGCCUUUUUGGAAAUGUAAGAACUCAUGCUUGUUGCAACUUGUUGCCAUGAGCUUAUUGUCUUCUCCAUGUUUGAAAGAACUGAAGCUAUCACCACUAAUAGAAGUGGUAGUCCCUUACAAUUUUCUGCAAUUUGGUUUCCUAUAUCUCGCAGCUCUUGAGGGCAACGAUCGUUCUCGAACACAUUCUGCUCUAAUAAUUUCCAACUUUCAUUUUUUGACAGAGGAGGAGGUUCAACGAUAUCGAUAUCAUCAGAAAUUUCUUUUGCCACAUCUUUCUGCCGACUGGUGAACAAUAUUCUGCUUCCGCUUUCGUUAUUUGGAAAAUACGUUUCCAACUCAUUCCAUGGACCUAUAUCCCAUAUAUCAUCCAUAACAAUGAGGUAUCUUCUACCACUUAAACUUUGAUGAAGAUGUAAGGCCAUGUCUCCAUCUUCCAUUUUCAAAAUUAUGUCUCUGUUAAGAUUACUUAUGGAGCUCAAAAUGUCAAUCAACAGCUUUCUCUUUCUAUAAGUUUGAGAAACAACACACCAAGAAAGCUUAUCAAAAUGGUCCUUAACAUUGGAAUGAUUGUAUAUCUUCUUUGCUAAUGUUGUCUUACCUAGUCCAGGCAUCCCAACUAUGGAAAUAAGCUGGCGGUUUUUUGUUCCUCGAAGAAGCUUUUGUAGAAUUUUUGUUGUACUGUCCUCGUUGCCCACAGUAAUCUCAUUUAUCUUGGAAAUGCUUUGUAGGCUUUCUGCAUCUUGUCCGCUUUCUGAUGAUACGUCCCUUGGAUUUUCUGCAACUUGUAAGCUUCCACUUCCGCAGUUCACCUCCUCUGAGAAUGCAAUGCAGUGAUCUUUGAUUCUCACUUGCAGAAUCUCAAUCCUUUCUACCAGAGCAGUAAGUGCCAGAUCCAUUUUGGUCGCUGUAACGAGGUCGGCGGUGAAAAAGAACGAAUGC